rnacentral:rRNA from 1 species
AUGGGAGCGGCUGUGCGGGAGGCGGCGGCGGACGGCGUCGUGACUUUCCUCUGGGUGCUCUGCGUCUCCACGCUCGGCGCCUCCACGGCCGCCGUCACCACCUACCUCAGCCUGCACGAGGGGAUCCACUACGCCCUCCUCGUCACCGUCUCCAUCCUCGCCCUCCUCCUCUUCGCCUUCAACCUCCUCUGCGACGCCCUCGGCGGCGCCAGCUUCAACCCCACCGGCGUCGCCGCCUUCUACGCCGCCGGCCUCACCAGCCCCUCGCUCUUCUCCAUCGCGCUCCGCCUACCAGCGCAGGCCGCCGGAGCCGUGGGCGGAGCUCUGGCCAUCUCCGAGCUGAUGCCGGAGCAGUACAAGCACAUGCUCGGCGGGCCCUCGCUCAAGGUGGAUCCCCACACCGGCGCCGUCGCCGAAGGUGUGCUCACCUUCGUCAUCACCUUUGCCGUCCUCUGCAUCAUCGUCAAGGGACCCCGCAACCCCAUCGUCAAGACAGCGAUGCUCUCCGUCACCACCGUCAGCCUCGUCCUCACCGGCGCCGCAUACACCGGCCCCUCCAUGAACCCUGCCAACGCCUUUGGUUGGGCGUAUGUUAACAAUCUGCACAACACCUGGGAGCAGCUGUACGUGUACUGGAUAUGCCCCUUCAUCGGUGCCAUUCUCGCUGCGUGGACCUUCAGGGCCGUGUUCCCGCCACCGGCCCCUAAGCCCAAGACCAAGAAAGCAUGA